CGUGGGAUCGGUGUCCUUGCGAACACGUGGGUCAGUGGCUGUACGUUGUUUAUAUUGGAGUUUGUUUGUUUUUUAUUUUAUUUUAACAUUGUGAAAAUAUACAGUGUUCUCCUUUGAAUAAGUUGUAUUUCCAUUCAAUAUUUAUAAAGCACCUUGUUUUUGUAUUUUUCUAAUCCAUUGACUGAUGUCACUUUGUUUUCGUACACGCCUAUUAAUUACACCAAUCGUAGGUCGUUUAAGAAAACCG
rnacentral:lncRNA from 1 species